AAGCCUUCGUCAUUAAGAACCAACUAAGAUGGGUCGGUCAUCAUGUUGGUCGGGUGGAAGACGAGCGUCUACCAAAGGAAACCUUCUACUCCCAGCUUAAAGAAGGAAAACGUAAAAGAGGUGGACAAAAGAAGAGAUUCAAAGACGUCUUAAAAGCCAGCAUGAAGAAAUGUGAAAUCGACAUCGACAAUUGGAAACCAAUGCUAAGGACAGGAAACUCUGGCGAACCAUAACCCAAGAAGGAACAGUGACCUUUGAAGCCAACAGAUGUGCAGAAUUAGAAGAAAAGAGAAGAAAACGAAAAUAGAGGCAGCUACAACCAAAGUCUGAUCUGCCAUCUGGAAUUACCUGAAUGUUGAAGUACUUUCAAAAGCCAGGAUUGGACUCAUAAGCCACCUGAGAGUCCAUAAAAACAACGGAACGUAGACCAUCAUCCUCGAGGGAUUGCCACGAUGACGAGACUUGAAAGGCCAAAUGGCCGAAUUCUGCUCCUGUCACUGAUGAACUUCUUCUUCUUGUGUAUGGCGUGCACAGCCUAAAGUUGCAAGACAACUUAUUCUGUUUGAUCUUCUGUUUGCGCACGCCAGGUUGAUUGCAUUCGCCGAAACAGGGUGGACCACGUGAAGGUUGCAAUCUCCCACCCCAACCGAUGAACUUGUAAUCAACUACACUCACAAAUGUUUUAGUCCUGAUUUCAAAUCACACUUGGGCAGGAAUUGGUUGUAAAGUUGAGAUUCAGUCAUUCUACCCUAUUCCUAUUUACCAACAUUUUUUCAAAGGUUUCAUCAACAUUUGAAAGUUGUAAAUUAAUGGUGUUAUCGGAGCCACGACAAGCCUUAACUAUAGCCCAGGGGGAAAUCUAGACUAUUGGUAAAUAUGGAAGAUUACUUCCUUGUGAGGCAGGGAAAGCCUGACAUCACUGCAAAUCUUUGGCUUUGUCCUGCCCAUAUCUCGGCCUGGAUCUUCUGCCUCAUAUCCUUCCUCUUUGUACAAGUGAUAUGGAUGCUGUGGCCAGCUGUCAUUACUGAUCACUUCCACUGGCUAGGCAAUAACUUUUAUUUGAGACUAGCUGGACAACAAAUAACUCUUGUGUUAAAACAUAGUUGUCUUUUGUUUUGAGAUUUGGGUAGAAGUGCAGCCUUUUAAGUACAAGAUACCUGUUACACAUGAGCUCCCCACGCUUCACCUCAGGCCGAGCUGCCAGAGUGGCCUCAGGACAGUUUCUUCAGAGGAUACUUUGAGUGCGCCAACCUCCAGCUGUUAAACAGUUCCUGACAAACAUUUGAAGUUACAGCCUUCGGGAGGGACAUUUUCUGCUGCUAUUUAUAUUGUAGUUUAUUUGAAUUUUUAUUGUUGCUUUAAUUGAAGUUGCAUUGCUAUUCUAUGGCUAUCUGCUCAUUGCUAUAUACUCAUUGCUUGAUUGUUGCUUUAAUAAAUGUUUGUGCAUUAAAUGUUA